rnacentral:lncRNA from 1 species
AUGUCUUUGGCUCGGACGAGGCGUGAUAAGUGCCGGAUCGCUUCUCGAAACAUGUCCUCCCGCCGCCGUCAGAGCGAGGGCGCCGUGUCUGAUUUUCGCCUCGCAGCUUCCCGAGCUCUGCUUCUUUGGCCACCAGCAGGUCCAUCAUCGCGUGAUACGCCCUUUUCAGCUGGCUGUUUUCCCUCACCUUCUCGUCGAAAACGGCCAACACUCGUUCCCUUUCCAAAGCGUAGGCUUGCAGUUGCUGCUGGAGGCCCCCCGCAUCCUGGACGGAGGCAGCCGAAGCUAGGCGAGCGGGAAGGCCCUGGCUCUCCCAGUCUUGCGGCUGGAUCGUCUGAGUUCGUGGCCCGGUCUCAUCUUCGUCCGGCUCAUCAAGCCGCUCGGUCAGAGGCAUCGUCUUUUCGGUCCCAAGUUUCAGUGCCUUCCUCUGCUUUUGCUCUUCAGUGGUCCUUGGAGGAUGCUGGGUUUCCUCCUCCAGGGAGGCGAGCCUCGUGUCUCCUUCCUCGAGGGUUUCCUGCAGAGUUGCGGUGUCUCUCCGAGCUGGAGUUGCCGGUCUCUCCUGCUCGGGUGGUCCGGUCGCCUGAAUGGCUUCCGUCUCCUUUCUCCCGAGUCGGGGAAGUCUGGCAGCUUUUGCGUCCCCUUCCUCAGCACACCUCUGGUGAAGUCAGAGAGGUGUGCGGGGAGGGAAGCCACACUGCCGCCCACUCGCCCCAGGGAAUGGCCUAAGCCGGAGCCGAGGCCGAGGCGGCCAAACCAGGAGGCCAUCGCUGCGGGUCACAGCACUGACCUGGUGCGCUCCGCGAAGAGCGUCCAGCCCAGUCGGACAGUCCCGCCAAGUGUCAGGGCCCCGGCGGCUGCGCGAGGCUAAGAGUCAAAUCACAGCCAGGCGCUGCUAGGCGACGGCGGGCUGGCGGCCUGGGGCGGGGCCUGGGCGGGGCCUGGGCGGGGCGCGGGCUCCAACCGUUGGGCUCGGGCUCCCGGAGGGGAGGGGCGGGGCUGCCCGCAACCGCGAGGCCUGCCGCCCGGCCCUCACCCAUGGCCACCUCCUGACCCGCGUGCCCGCUCCACCCCCCGCACCCCCCACCGCCAGCCCCGUGGGCCUCCGCUCAAGCCCAGGGCUUCCCACCACGGCGGUGGGCCGCCCUCUCCCUCUGCUUCAGUGCCGCCCCCGGGGCCAGGCGGCCCUCCUGCCCCUGGGGCCGCCCGCACGACCGCCGGCUGAAGGCCGCCAUCCCCACACCACCGCCACCUGUGCGCGUGGCAGCGCGUGUGGGCAGAAAGGACCCCAGGGCUCUGACUGCCGCCGAGCGCCUCCCACGCUCCCUCCUGUCUGCGGCCCGGGGCUAUUCCCAGCCGGCUUGAGACACUCGGAGGGCCAAGGUAGGUGGGGACCCGCCUCCACCUGCAGAAUUCCGACGAGUGGGUUUGGACACACGUCGGCCCCCUGCGCGGAAGCACGACCCUCCUGAGCACCCUGACCAUUGCCAUCCCCCACACAGUCGCCGGGGUCCUUGCCCCGCCGCCUCGCCCCCCUCGUCCUGCGGCCUGCCUGGAGAAGCGGUCCCCGGAGGAGUCUGGGGGCUCUCGGGCGCCACAGGCGGGGUGUGGCACACCGCGUGCACGCUGUCGCCGCUUCUGUCAGCGCGGGGCGGGCUCUGGUCGGGGAAGGGAGUCUUCCCAUGCGUCGAGCGGGCGGUGGAGCGGGGAAGGACCCAGAGGUGCUCGU